CCUAUCUUCCUUGAGUGCUCCUUUAGCAUCUUGAUCAUUCAGUGGCCCCAAUGAUUGUUUGGCAGGUGUCCUGCUUCCGAUGUACUUAAGAGUGUGUGUGUGUGUGUGUGUGUGU